GGGGAUGCUUGGUUUCGACAGGGCCGUAGACGCGAAGAUUGCAAGCCGAGGUUGCCCCAGGCCUCGUAAAACGGGGCAAAAACAAUAAAAGGCGAAGAACAACUCGCUUUCGCCGCUUAAAUAGCGGCGCGUCUGCCUAGACCUGCUCCCGGAUGGUUUAGAGUCAGGCGACGAUAGCCCGGGAUGCUGUGGUCCGGAGCGUUGGAUAAGGCCACCUAAGAUUAUCUAACAGGCUGCGAUGAGAAGGGUGGCGGUGCUCGUCUCUGCGGUACCUUAAAUCACCGAAUAAGCUUGUAGGACAUCUUCCGUUGAACGUUCUGGACGGGGGUUCGAUUCCCCCCAUCUCCACCG
rnacentral:tmRNA from 1 species